CCAGAAAGUGGAUGGAAGUAAGAGAUAUGCAUGUCAUCAAAGUGCUACCUGAAGACUCCAUUGUCGUUUGGGGAUUGUAAAAAUGUUUUUAAGCCGCAGAAAUACUCUGCAGCAUCCAUGCUUAGACUUCUUUCUUAAUUCUACACUUUUGCCUUUAUUUAGUUUCCCCUUUAGCCUUUUUCCAAAAAAAAAAAAAAAAAAAAGAGGCUAUUUUGCUCUCUGAGCACUGUUCAUCUCCCUUCUCCCUCCCUUUCAAUUCUUGAUAUUAAAAUCUAUUUCCCCCUUUCCCAGACAAAAGGAAUGUAUAAAGGAUUUCAGUGACUUUGAGAUAACAAAGGCGCCACCAUUGCAGAGGUUCGCCCCGCCUCUGUUUGAUGGCAAACAAAUUCUUGCACUUGUAUUAGGGCUUUUAAGGCUAUAAUUGAACACGGCGCGUCUAGGAGAACCGAAAACAGUUCUAGACUGACCUGCGGUUUUAUAGCACUUUUGGCAGUCAACUUCAGCUUGUGUCAGAACAGACAUGACAGAACGGACCAACGGUUAAUCGGGAGACACCACCUACUUGGAAUCGCUGCAGUCCCCUCUUAAUUAAAUAAAUCACAAACGUUGGGGAGAGAACGGGCUGCAGUUCUGAAAAAAGUCAUUGGGACUUCUGCGUUUAGAAAGCAAAUAACACCGUGCAUUGCCCCUGCUAACCUCGGUGAGAACAGCAAAAACAAAAGAAGGCAUUUCAUUUUGAGAAGCAAAAUCCAUUCAUUCCUCCUUUACAACUAUUUCGUCUGGCUGAGAAAGGGCAACGUGUAUAAUCAUGUUAUGUGCUUUGCAACUGCGCUGCAUUACAUUCUAGAUACAUUUUACAAUGGACGCAGAUAUCGCUAGUAGGUAAAUAGACUUUAUGGGCAGAUUGGGUCGUGUCUACCUAUAUAAAGCGAAGAAAAAUUAAUCCAUACUUUGGAGCGAUAUAAACAAAGCUAGGAUGUCACGUCCAGAGUUUGUAUAUAUCUGGUGUGCAGAAGGAACUUUUAAAAACAAUACCGGGGAUCUUUAAAAGGUCAAGUUCUAUAAUGUGCAAAACGUUGCCACUUUCUGUUUAUUUGUGGGUUUUUCAUAAAAACAAAUAGCACUAUAAUUUAUAUUAAACAUUAGGGUGAAUACCUGUGUUUCACAGUAGAAGUGUAUACUAAGUGGAUUUUAUGUGUAAAACGAGUUAACUAAAAUAUUACAUUUUUAUUGAUUUUUGAAAAUUAGCAUAUUUUCAAUAAUUAUGCUUUUUGAUAUAAUUUUGAUAUCUCCAAAAUUGUGCACUAAUUAAUUAUUAUAGCAUAUAGCUAUUGUAUGCUUUACUUUCUAUAUACAUGCAGUUACUAUAGUAGGACAAUAUUAGGAAAUAUGCAACAUAUUUUGGCCAACGAAAACAUCAUAACUUCUUUCUUUCUAAUGAAAAAUGUCUAUAAGGUCGCAACACUUCGAAACAUUUGUCUUAAAAGUAAUUAUUUAAAUUUCCUGCCGAUUGUUUGGGUUAAACAUUAUUUAAGACUUACUAGUUCUCUACUCAGCUGUUUUUCUCUUUUCCUUUUUGACCACUGUACUACUGAGCUAUACAGUAAUAACCAAAAUAUAGUUUGUCACCUAAACACGUCUUUAACAUUUUAAGAACAAAUAAUUAUAACAAUAUUUUGAUAAUGGAUUUCAAACACUAAUACCUCUGCUAUUACAGCUAGUAGGGAUUUAUCAAAAGAGCAAGAUGCAUUUCCAAGAUUAUGAUAUGGAAUAGUCUGUUUAUUGUUCAAAACCAGGCGCUACGUAAUCGUAGUCAUACUAUGGAGGUGCAAAUUUAUAUAUAAAGAGAAAGCAAAUGUAAAUACAAAACUGAGUCACAGUUCAACUGUAGUCUUGGUAUAUUUAACGGCAUUAUAUUAAUUCUGACGAAUAAGCUUUUUAAAACAAUUUUACUUACCAGGUUGAAGAUUGUACAUGAUUGUA